AACGCACGAGACCUGCGGACCUGCGGAAGGAUCAUUGAUGAGAAACUGCCCCUCGCGGGUAGAUCUCCCACCCUUUGUAAACUUACCUUUGUUGCUUUGGCAGGCCCGUCUCCGGACCGCCGGCUUCGGCUGGCCAGUGCCUGCCAGAGGAUUCUAAAACUCUGUCUGUCAGUGUUGUCUGAGUCUAUAUACAAUCGUUAAAACUUUUAACAACGGAUCUCUAGAUCGGAAGAGCACACG
rnacentral:misc_RNA from 1 species